rnacentral:rRNA from 1 species
UACGUAGGGUGCAAGCGUUAAUCGGAAUUACUGGGCGUAAAGCGUGCGCAGGCGGUUUUGUAAGCCAGAUGUGAAAGCCCCGGGCUCAACCUGGGAACUGCGUUUGGAACUACAAGACUAGAGUGUGUCGGAGGGGGGUGGAAUUCCGCGUGUAGCAGUGAAAUUCGUAGAUAUCGGGAGGAAUACCGGUGGCGAAGGCGACUUUCUGGACGAAUACUGACGCUGAGGCGCGAAAGCGUGGGGAGCAAA